rnacentral:tRNA from 1 species
GCGAGGGUAGCAGAGCCUGGCCAAAUGCGCGGGGCAAGCAAUCCCGUCCCUUAGGGGUACGUGGGUUCGAAUCCCACCCCUCGCA